rnacentral:rRNA from 1 species
AGUGAACGCUGGCGGUAGGCCUAACACAUGCAAGUCGAACGGCAGCACAGUAAGAGCUUGCUCUUACGGGUGGCGAGUGGCGGACGGGUGAGGAAUACAUCGGAAUCUACUUUUUCGUGGGGGAUAACGUAGGGAAACUUACGCUAAUACCGCAUACGACCUACGGGUGAAAGCAGUGGAUCUUCGGACCUUGCGCGAUUCUAUUAGCCGAUGUCGGAUUAGCUAGUUGGCGGGGUAAAGGCCCACCAAGGCGACGAUCCGUAGCUGGUCUGAGAGGAUGAUCAGCCACACUGGAACUGAGACACGGUCCAGACUCCUACGGGAGGCAGCAGUGGGGAAUAUUGGACAAUGGGCGCAAGCCUGAUACAGCCAUACCGCGUGGGUGAAGAAGGCCUUCGGGUUGUAAAGCCCUUUUGUUGGGAAAGAAAAGCAGCAGGUUAAUACCCCGCUGUUCUGACGGUACCAAAAGAAUAAGCACCGGCUAACUUCGUG